UACGUAGGGUGCGAGCGUUAAUCGGAGUUACUGGGCGUAAAGCGUGCGCAGGCGGUUUUGUAAGCCAGAUGUGAAAUCCCCGGGCUUAACCUGGGAAUGGCAUUUGGGACUGCAAGGCUGGAGUGCGGCAGAGGAGACUGGAAUUCCUGGUGUAGCAGUGAAAUGCGUAGAUAUCAGGAGGAAUACCGAUGGCGAAGGCAGGUCUCUGGGCUGACACUGACGCUCAUGCACGAAAGCGUGGGGAGCAAACAGG
rnacentral:rRNA from 1 species